rnacentral:tRNA from 1 species
GGAGCCACGACCAGGUGAGCUUGCAGGCUCUCCUGAAGCCGGUGUCGCAUGUUCGAAUCAGGCCGGGGGCACCA